GGGAAAGAGGUCUGUGCCAGGAGACAAGUCUUGUCAUCUCCCUGAGCCUCAGUGUCCCCAUGAGCAAAGAGGGCCCGUCGUCAGCCACCCACAGUGCUCUGUAUCUGAAAGUGGUUUGGAAGAUUGGCUACCAUCCGGGUGCGAGGAAUCAUUAGCAGUGAGGCCAAGUUUGGGAAGCCGAAGAGGAGCUGUGCACCAAGAGGAGGGUGUUUUGUUGUUUUUUCUGUUUUGAUUUUUGUUUUGAGAAUCCAGAGGCCCUUAUGAUCUGCUUCCUUUCUCAGCUGAGCCACUGCCCCCGGAUGCCCCAGCAGUGUCCUCUGAGGUGGAGCUGCAAGACCUGAGGAAGGAGCUGGAGAGAGUGGCAGGAGAGCUCCAGGCUCAGGUGGAAAACAAUCAGUGCAUCAGUCUCCUGAACCGUGGGCAAAAGGAGAGGCUUCGCGAGCAGGAGGAGAGGCUUCAGGAGCAGCAGGAGAGGCUUCGGGAACAGGAGAAGAGGCUUCAGCAGCUGGCCGAGCCACAGAGCGACUUGAAGGAGCUGAACGAGAACAAGAGCGCACUGCAGUUGGAGCAGCAAGUAAAGGAGCUGCAGGAGAAGCCGGGCCAGGUGACGGAGACGCUCACCUCGGCCGAGAAGGAGCCAGAGGCAGCAGUCCCAGCCUCAGGGACUGGGGGCGAGUCUAGCGGCCUUAUGGACCUCCUGGAGGAGAAGGCGGACCUGAGGGAGCAUGUGGACAAACUGGAACUUGGAUUCAUCCAGUACCGGAGAGAGAG
rnacentral:lncRNA from 1 species